CCUACAGGACGCAGCAGUGAGGAAUAUUGGUCAAUGGGCGGGAGCCUGAACCAGCCAAGUCGCGUGAGGGAAGACGGUCCUAUGGAUUGUAAACCUCUUUAGGCGGGGAGCAAUGCCGGGCACGCGUGCCCGGAGGGAGAGUACCCGCAGAAUAAGCAUCGGCUAACUCCGUGCCAGCAGCCGCGGUAAUACGUAGGGGGCGAGCGUUGUCCGGAAUCACUGGGCGUAAAGGGCGCGUAGGCGGUUUAAUAAGUCAGUGGUGAAAACUGAGGGCUCAACCCUCAGCCUGCCACUGAUACUGUUAG
rnacentral:rRNA from 1 species